rnacentral:rRNA from 1 species
GUGGACGCCAGUCUGCAUGGAGCCGACCUUGAAAUACCACCCUUUAAUGUUUGAUGUUCUAACGUGGACCCGUAAUCCGGGUUGCGGACAGUGUCUGGUGGGUAGUUUGACUGGGGCGGUCUCCUCCUAAAGAGUAACGGAGGAGCACGAAGGUUGGCUAAUCCUGGUCGGACAUCAGGAGGUUAGUGCAAUGGCAUAAGCCAGCUUGACUGCGAGCGUGACGGCGCGAGCAGGUGCGAAAGCAGGUCAUAGUGAUCCGGUGGUUCUGAAUGGAAGGGCCAUCGCUCAACGGAUAAAAGGUACUCCGGGGAUAACAGGCUGAUACCGCCCAAGAGUUCAUAUCGACGGCGGUGUUUGGCACCUCGAUGUCGGCUCAUCACAUCCUGGGGCUGAAGUAGGUCCCAAGGGUAUGGCUGUUCGCCAUUUAAAGUGGUACGCGAGCUGGGUUUAGAACGUCGUGAGACAGUUCGGUCCCUAUCUGCCGUGGGCGCUGGAGAACUGAGGGGGGCUGCUCCUAGUACGAGAGGACCGGAGUGGACGCAUCACUGGUGUUCGGGUUGUCAUGCCAAUGGCACUGCCCGGUAGCUAAAUGCGGAAGAGAUAAGUGCUGAAAGCAUCUAAGCACGAAACUUGCCCCGAGAUGAGUUCUCCCUGAGACUUUAGGUCUCCUGAAGGAACGUUGAAGACGACGACGUUGAUAGGCCGGGUGUGUAAGCGC